GAUGAAGAACGCAGCGAAAUGCGAUAAGUAAUGUGAAUUGCAGAAUUCAGUGAAUCAUCGAAUCUUUGAACGCACAUUGCGCCCUCUGGUAUUCCGGGGGGCAUGCCUGUUCGAGCGUCAUUAUAACCACUCAAGCUCUCGCUUGGUAUUGGGGUUCGCGGUUCCGCGGCCCCUAAAAUCAGUGGCGGUGCCUGUCGGCUCUACGCGUAGUAAUACUCCUCGCGAUUGAGUCCGGUAGGUUUACUUGCCAGCAACCCCCAAUUUUUACAGGUUGACCUCGGAUCAGGUAGGGAUACCCGCUGAACUUAAGCAUAUCAAUAAGCGGAGGA
rnacentral:misc_RNA from 1 species